CCUACGGGUGACAGCAGUGAGGAAUAUUGGUCAAUGGACGCAAGUCUGAACCAGCCAUGCCGCGUGCAGGAAGACGGCUCUAUGAGUUGUAAACUGCUUUUGUACGAGGGUAAACGGAGAUACGCGUAUCUGUCUGAAAGUAAAGUACGAAUAAGGAUCGGCUAACUCCGUGCCAGCAGCCGCGGUAAUACGGAGGAUUCAAGCGUUAUCCGGAUUUAUUGGGGUUAAAGGGUGCGUAGGCGGUCGGAUAAGUUAGUGGUGAAAGCCCGAGGCUCAACGUCGGAAUUGCCUCUGAUACUCUUCGGCUAGAGCGUAGUUGCGGUAGGCGGAAUGUCUGGUGUAGCGGUGAAAUGCUU
rnacentral:rRNA from 1 species